AAAAACCUCAUCUUCUUCCUCGAAAUUUUCGGUAUCCGCUUCGUCUCUCUGUAAUGCUAAUGGCUAUCAAUCUCUCCUUUUCUCCUCACUCUCUAAUUCCAUUUCAGAAGCCUUCGCUCUUACCGCGCCAGGAACUCGGUCGCUUUCUUCAGCUCAACUCAGUGAGUCGGAUUUCGAAUGUUCGCCUUCGUUCUGGCUCUCAAUCGGGGGUUUUGGUUCGAGCCGCUUUGGAUAGCGAUUACUCGUCAAAGAGGAGCAGUAGCAAUGAGGAAAGGGAGACGUUUAUGUUGCCUGGUUGUGAUUAUAACCAUUGGCUUAUUGUCAUGGAGUUUCCCAAAGAUCCUGCUCCAACGAGGGAACAGAUGAUUGAUACCUAUCUCAACACUCUUGCUACUGUUUUGGGAAGCAUGGAAGAAGCCAAGAAAAACAUGUAUGCUUUCAGCACCACCACCUACACUGGAUUCCAAUGCACAGUGUCCGAAGAAACAUCCGAGAAAUUUAAGGGACUACCUGGAGUUCUUUGGGUGUUGCCAGAUUCUUAUAUAGAUGUCAAGAACAAAGAUUAUGGAGGUGACAAGUACAUAAAUGGAGAAAUAAUUCCAUCCAAGUAUCCUGUUUAUGAACCAAAGAAACGAAGAGAAACCAAAUAUGAAAGUAGGAGAUAUGAAAGAAAACGGGAUGGCCCUUCUCCUGAACAACGAAAGCCGAGACCACAAGCAACAACCAGAACGGAAUCAAAUUCAGGAUAAGAUUACUGUUGUCUCCUUUGGACCGACGGUCCAACUUCGAUUCCUGCUAAAAUCACCCUCUCGGUGUCGGAAUGGCAGGUGCCAUUCAAUUGUUUGGUCCACGUGCGUUAAAUCAGUUCGCUAUGGUCACUGUCACCCGUUCCUAUCAGGGUCAUUCGGACGGAAAACUGAAAGUGCAGAAUAGACCAACUGAAGAUGGAAGAGUGGACGUUGUGGACAACCUUUUUCGCAAUGAUUUUCUCUACGUUGGGAACUUGGGCGGGCAUAAUCAACUAGACCCAGUGCGAGAUUCCUUCAAAUCCAGAAUAUAAUGCUAUCUAGAUGAGUGAGAUAAUCUCAGCCAUCUUUAAACUUUCAA